AGAAUCAGUCUGGGGUCCUCCAGCUCCGGAUCUGCCUGAGGUGGACACAGAAACACAAAAGCCAAGUUGGGAAA
ensembl:misc_RNA Gm55783 predicted gene, 27610